GGUGAUUUGGUGCAGAGGGCUGCAAGAGGCUUCGUAGCUCACUCAUUGAUCAAUGUAAGGAGAGGAGUCAAAACUGGAAGCUGUUUGGAAAGAGUAAGCAGACUAAUUCACUUUGAAUCAACAUGUAUGAAAGAUUUACCUUCCUCAGACAUGGACAAAUUACAACCAAGAAUCCUAAGCAAGCAGAUCUCCUAAAUACUCUGAAGAAGAUGGGGCAGAAAAUCUGUUCAAUGAAUGGGUCAAGAGAGCUGCCAUGCCACAGGAUAUUCAGUGUAUGGGGUGGUUCGAACUGUGAGGAACUGAGGCCUGCUAACAUCCAUGUGAGUGAGCCUGGGAAAAGAUCAUGUUCCAGCCAAGCCUUGAGAUCCUUGUCCAGAAGUUUUGCUUUAAGCAAAUGAAAAAAAGAUUCCAGUAGCAGAAGUGAGCCCUAGUCAGCAGAACUACAUGCUUCAAAGUGGGUAAACAGAAGACAGAGGGCCUGAAUAUUUUAUAUCAGCACUUUCUUGCCUGGUUCCUGUAUGUGCUUUG